rnacentral:rRNA from 1 species
GACGUAGGGCGCGAGCGUUGUCCGGAUUUAUUGGGCGUAAAGAGCUCGUAGGCGGCUCGUUGCGUCGGCUGUGAAAACCCGCAGCUCAACUGUGGGCUUGCAGCUGAUACGGGCGGGCUGGAGUUCGGUAGGGGAGACUGGAAUUCCUGGUGUAGCGGUGAAAUGACGCAGAUAUCAGGAGGAACACCGGUGGCGAAGGCGGGUCUCUGGGCCGAUACUGACCGCUGGAGGAGCGAAAGCGUGGGGAGCGAACAGG